UGCAGUCGAACGAUGAAGCUGGAGCUUGCUCCGGUGGAUUAGUGGCGAACGGGUGAGUAACACGUGAGCAAUCUGCCCUUGACUCUGGGAUAACUGCGGGAAACUGUAGCUAAUACCGGAUACGACACCUUCGGGCAUCCGAUGGGUGUGGAAAGAAUUUCGGUCAAGGAUGAGCUCGCGGCCUAUCAGCUAGUUGGUGAGGUAAUGGCUCACCAAGGCGACGACGGGUAGCCGGCCUGAGAGGGUGACCGGCCACACUGGGACUGAGACACGGCCCAGACUCCUACGGGAGGCAGCAGUGGGGAAUAUUGCACAAUGGGCGCAAGCCUGAUGCAGCAACGCCGCGUGAGGGACGAAGGCCUUCGGGUUGUAAACCUCUUUUAGCAGGGAAGAAGCGAAAGUGACGGUACCUGCAGAAAAAGCACCGGCUAACUACGUGCCAGCAGCCGCGGUAAUACGUAGGGUGCAAGCGUUGUCCGGAAUUAUUGGGCGUAAAGAGCUCGUAGGCGGUUUGUCACGUCCGCUGUGAAAUUCCGAGGCUCAACCUCGGACUUGCAGUGGGUACGGGCAGGCUAGAGUGCGGUAGGGGAGACGGGAAUUCCUGGUGUAGCGGUGGAAUGCGCAGAUAUCAGGAGGAACACCGAUGGCGAAGGCACGUCUCUGGGCCGUAACUGACGCUGAGGAGCGAAAGCGUGGGGAGCGAACAGGAUUAGAUACCCUGGUAGUC
rnacentral:rRNA from 1 species